rnacentral:rRNA from 1 species
GCGGACGGGUGAGUAACGCGUGGGUAACCUGCCUCACACAGGGGGAUAACAGUUGGAAACGACCGCUAAUACCGCAUAAGCCGACGAAUCCGCAUGGAUUCGCCGGAAAAGAUUUAUCGGUGUGAGAUGGACCCGCGUCUGAUUAGCCAGUUGGCAGGGUAACGGCCUACCAAAGCGACGAUCAGUAGCCGGCCUGAGAGGGUGAACGGCCACAUUGGGACUGAGACACGGCCCAAACUCCUACGGGAGGCAGCAGUGGGGAAUAUUGCACAAUGGGGGAAACCCUGAUGCAGCGACGCCGCGUGAGUGAAGAAGUAUUUCGGUAUGUAAAGCUCUAUCAGCAGGGAAGAAAAUGACGGUACCUGACUAAGAAGCCCCGGCUAACUACGUGCCAGCAGCCGCGGUAAUACGUAGGGGGCAAGCGUUAUCCGGAUUUACUGGGUGUAAAGGGAGCGUAGACGGCACAGCAAGUCAGAAGUGAAAGCCCGGGGCUCAACUCCGGGACUGCUUUUGAAACUGUUGGGCUGGAGUGCAGGAGAGGUAAGCGGAAUUCCUAGUGUAGCGGUGAAAUGCGUAGAUAUUAGGAGGAACACCAGUGGCGAAGGCGGCUUACUGGACUGUAACUGACGUUGAGGCUCGAAAGCGUGG